UUCACAGAAGAUGAACUUGUUUACAGAAAUACUUUGAGUAGUGUGAUGAAGUUUAAUUUGGUCAUUUUCUAGGCCGCACACCUCAGACCCCAGAAUUCAGCUGAAGGCUGAUUUGGCUUAAGCCACGACCGCUCUCUCUUUUGGGUUUUGGUGCCAAACCACAGUCCGUAUGGUCACAACCCAGGCCGCACACCUCAAACCCCAGAAUUCAGCUGAAGGCUAAUUUGGCUUAAGCCACGACCGCUCUCUCUUUUGGGUUUUGGUGCCAAACCACAGUCCGUACGGUCACAACCCAGUAUCACCGGCCAGUUUGAAGAUGCCAUCACAAAAGC